rnacentral:lncRNA from 1 species
AUUACAGGUGCUUGGCUUUGCGUCUCCUUUUUGUUUGACCAUGGAUUUUGGUUUGGGAUGGCUGAUUGAGGUAUUGACUACCUUUUUCCAAGUCCAGUAACUUUAAAAGGAAAGUUUUGAUUCUUUUUGAAUCGUGCAUUAGUGUGCUGCACUAACAUCAUACGAGCAUGCAUUAGACCGGUCGCAUUCCUCCUCCCCAGAAAAGGGGCCACGUGUGAUAGUGUGGACCCAUCUAGCACUAUGCAUGAAUGGCUCAGUGCACCUAUACAAUUUAUUUUUAGAUUGGAUGCU